GACGAACGCUGGCGGCGUGCUUAACACAUGCAAGUCGAACGAAGUGGCGAACGGGUGAGUAACGCGUAAUCAACCUGCCCUUCAGAGGGGAACAACAGUUGGAAACGACUGCUAAUACCGCAUACUGAAGGAGGGGAUUGCGUCUGAUUGGCUAGUUGGAGGGGUAACGGCCGACCAAGGCGAUGAUCAGAAGCCGGGCUGAGAGGGUGAACGGCCACAUUGGGACUGGGACACGGCCCAGACUCCUACGGGAGGCAGCAGGGGGGAAUCUUCCGCAAUGGACGGAAGGCUGACGGAGCAACGCCGCGUGAGUGGUGACGGCCUUCGGGGUGUAAAGCUCUGUUAAGCGGGACGCGGUACCGGAAUAGAAAGCCACGGCUAACUACGUGCCAGCAGCCGCGGUAAUAC
rnacentral:rRNA from 1 species